rnacentral:tRNA from 1 species
UAAAAGUUAGCUUAAAGGAAAAGCAUUUUGCUUUGAACUAAAUAACAUGAGUUCAAAUCCCAUACUUUUAA